rnacentral:rRNA from 1 species
AGUGAACGCUGGCGGUAGGCCUAACACAUGCAAGUCGAACGGCAGCACAGUAAGAGCUUGCUCUUACGGGUGGCGAGUGGCGGACGGGUGAGGAAUACAUCGGAAUCUACUUUUUCGUGGGGGAUAACGUAGGGAAACUUACGCUAAUACCGCAUCCGACCUACGGUUGAAAGCAGGGGAUCUUCGAACCUUGCGCGAUUAAAUGAGCCGAUGUCGGAUUAGCUAGUUGGCGGGGUAAAGGCCCACCAAGGCGACGAUCCGUUGCUGGUCUGAGAGGAUGAUCAGCCACACUGGAACUGAGACACGGUCCAGACUCCUACGGGAGGCAGCAGUGGGGAAUAUUGGACAAUGGGCGCAAGCCUGAUCCAGCCAUACCGCGUGGGUGAAGAAGGCCUUCGGGUUGUAAAGCCCUUUUGUUGGGAAAGAAAAGCAGCAGGUUAAUACCCCGCUGUUCUGACGGUACCCAAAGAAUAAGCACCGGCUAACUUCGUG